UACGUAGGGUGCGAGCGUUGUCCGGAUUUAUUGGGCGUAAAGAGCUCGUAGGCGGCUCGUCGCGUCGACCGUGAAAACCCGCGGCUUAACUGCGGGCUUGCGGUUGAUACGGGCGGGCUAGAGUUCGGUAGGGGAGACUGGAAUUCCUGGUGUAGCGGUGAAAUGCGCAGAUAUCAGGUGGAACACCGGAGGCGAAGGCGCCUGCCUGGCAGUAUAUUGACGCUGAGGUGCGAAAGUGCGGGGAGCAAACAGG
rnacentral:rRNA from 1 species